rnacentral:lncRNA from 1 species
GAGUCUUAAAUCCUCCCACUAACUUCACCAAGUCAUAAAGAGGACUAUAGAUAAGUUGGUUAAAUGGCACCUAACUCAAUCGAACUGAUUUAAUGAUUUGAGAAUAAGAGAAGAGAUCAACUAGCAAAUCAUAAAUUCUUCUACUGACUUUAUCAAGUCAUGAAGAGGACUAGUUAGUGACCUAAUUAAAAUAUAAUCUACCAUAUUGGCUAGGU